UAUAGCAGCGUGACAGGGUACCUCCAGAAGUCAAGCAAUAAGCUGAUGUUUAGCAAGUGAGUUAUUAAUUUGCUUGUUCCAGUUAUACAGAGUAAGCAUUCUGCAGCUACAAAAAAAAGAAAAACAGCACUUUUUCUUCAACCCACAGUUUACCACAACUGUUGGUUACCAACCUCUAGUUCCCUGAAAGUUUUAAUGAAAACAUAAAAGGGAUCCCUAUUACAGUCCAAUGACAACAGCUUUUCUGCUUUUCUGAAAUGGCUGGAAUGGCAAAUCCAAACAUAAUCCACAUACAUCUUGACCAGUUUGGAAUUCCAAGUGUGCACAACAAUCACAUUAACUAAACCCCUCCCUUCCUGAAAGGAGGGAGAUGCCCGAUUAAGCAUGCUGGAAAUAAAUCCAAAUAUUAACAGGGUAGUGUCUUUUGCACUUUUGAUACUGACUUACACUCAGUAGUAGAUGGAAGCCAAGCAGUCCCAGUCACAAAACAAAAGAAUAAUGAAUACUACAGUUAAUAAGUUUCAUUUUUAGACAGCUUGUUUCAAGCUGCAACUGUGGCCAAACAAACCUACUUGAAAACAAAGAGGAAUUUUGCAGGAAUGUACUAUUACUUUCCAACCCAGCUUCUCAAAGUAUCAAGGGCAGUCAUGUACAAUUUAAUCAACAUGCAAAGAGUGGCUGCAAAAUUCAAACAGAUUGGCAUGUAGAUAAGUUACAUGAAACAAUUAAAGGAAGUCACAGUCUAGGACACUCCAAUGUCCUGUGUCCAAAUACAUUAUACUAAGAACCCCUUUUAAUGGACAGAUUUUUAACAAAAAGCCCUACAAGUACUCAUUAACACAGUAUCAGAAACUUAGGAUCAACUUAAAAAAUACUUGUAUUCAUAACAGGCUGGAAACUCUUGGCAUCAGAGUAUUUUCUAAACUAGUUUUUGUUGUUUCGGUGAUAAAACUAGCAAAAAAAAAAUCAUAUAGUGAACUGCAUUUUAAUUGCUUCUACUGUUGCUGCCACUGCUAAGAGGAAGUGCUCUUGUGGAAAAAUUACAGGACAAAUCUGAGUUCAGUUACAGCCAAACAGUCAAUGUUACUUCUUUGAAGUCUUACUAAACAUAAAACUAUUCCAAACCAGCAGAAACAUUAAUUGCACUUGAACAAAACCCUCUGACAUUUUGCACGCCUCUGCAACAUCUGAAAACCAUUCUAAUGCACAACAAAGAGACUAGAAGGGCUGCGGAGAAGUAGCAUCAUCUAUUGAUGCUACUUAUACAGGAGCAGGUGGGAAAGAGCGACAAUCCCCUUUCACAUGUGUAAGUUUUUAAGAGAAACCUUUGUGAACAGAAAGAACUGUCCAAAGCCUAAUACUCAAGCUGUUUGGUACAAGAAAGCACUCUCAAUUUUUUUUAACAAAACCAGAAUGCUUGGUAUUUCACAUUUUGAACAGUAAUAGCGUUAAUUUACUUCUCUCAUAAUAACUGAAGCUUUACUUUAGGGAAACAGUAUUCCUAAAUAUGAUGAACUCCUGCUUCCUGGCAAAGAACAACAGUUGCGUACACAGAGAAAAGUGGUCUUCCACUUUAAGAAGGUGCUAGCUUUGUCACGGACUCAAUUACGUAUUUCUUAAAUGAUGGUGAGGGGGAACACAGAUGUACGUACAUCAAGUUAGUAGUGAACAACAAACACAAAACACCCAUUUAAUUUUCAUUCUGAUGAGUAUACACCUACUUAUCCUUUCUGUUCUUUAGCAAACUUCUGAUUUGGAAACAACACGUUCUCCUACUUAUUCUACUGGUCAAGGACGAGAAGUACACACAAAUCUCCAAAGAAACCACCAAGAUCAACCACAACUGAAGAAGAUACACCAUUUGGAAGAUCAGAAGCCAUGGUUACAUGUGGAUCCAACACUCAGAUGCACAAUGACAAUGCUGACCUCAAUUCAAGGAAGACUUAGGUAGCUCACGUUUCCUAAAAACAAAACCUGCAGCUGAUGAAUAUACACCAGUGCAGAUGCCAUAUAAGAUAUCAGACCAAACCUCUCACAGCUCACUGGGUUGUUACCAGGCUUGGAUAAUAAACAUUCUAAAUACAUUCAUAUCUGAAAGGGUCACAUAACACUGGACAAAAAGGAGUUGCCACAGUCUGUGUUCUCAUUUAGAACAGAAAUCUACAACACUCCCUAGCAACAGGCACUUGCAGAAAACAAUUAUUUGAAUCAAAAGAAAAUAAAAACCAACAACAACAAAGCAACUAAAAAACGACACAAACAUUAAUAGUCUAAAUUGUGAAACUAUGUGGUCUUUGCUUCUGCAUGAAGUUGCUCAAUUCCUAUACUGCAGUCAAUACCUGUGUUGAUUAUACAAUAUUUAAGUAAAAAAACAAAAC